ACAACCUACAUCCUUGGUCUCCAUGGUACUGUGUGUUGCUGUUGCUGAGCAUGUUGCGCAUGAAUUGGUCCAAUAUGUGGCAUUGGAGCAGGUGUGUUCAUAAAAAGUGACACAUUUAGACCUAGAGAAUUCAACAGGGGAACAAGAGGUGGUGCAAUCCCUUGUGACACAUUAAGACCUAGAGAAUUCAACAGGGGAACAAGAGGUGGUGCAAUCCCUUGAAAACUUGUAAAGUUUGGGGCAGAAGAAGGAAGCAUGACUGGACCAUGGCAUCUCAAGCUAUCUAAGCUAUGAGAAAGAGGAUUAAGAUAAGGAACUUGUGCAGCAAAAUGAGUGGUUAAAUGACCCCUAUUU
rnacentral:lncRNA from 1 species